UCAAGUUAUUAAGGGUGCAGGGCGGAUGCCUUGGCACUAGGAGCCGAUGAAGGACGUGAUAAGCUGCGAUAAGCUUCGGGGAGUUGCACGUAAACUUUGAUCCGAAGAUUUCCGAAUGAGGAAACUCACUUAGAGUAAUGUCUAAGUAUCAUUAAGUGAAUACAUAGCUUAAUGAGGGGAACUCAGGGAACUGAAACAUCUAAGUACCUGAAGGAAGAGAAAGAAAUUCGAUUCCGUAAGUAGCGGCGAGCGAACGCGGAUUAGCCCAAACCAAUAAAGUUUUCUUUAUUGGGGUUGCGGACAUAUCAUAACGAAGAGGUAUCGUAAUUGAAGAGGUUUGGAAAGACCCACCACAGAAGGUAAUAGUCCUGUAUGUUAAACGAGAAGACUUCAGAUAUGAUCCAGAGUACCACGGGACACGUGAAACCCUGUGGGAAGCAGGAGGGACCACCCUCCAAGGCUAAAUACUACCUAGUGACCGAUAGCGUAUAGUACCGUGAGGGAAAGGUGAAAAGAACCCCGGGAGGGGAGUGAAAUAGAACCUGAAACCCUGCACUUACAAGCUGUGGAAGCACAUUUCUUGUGUGACCGCGUACUUUUUGUAGAACGGGCCAACGAGUUACGUUAAGUAGCAAGGUUAAGCACUUAAGGUGCGGAGCCGUAGCGAAAGCGAGUUUUAACUGAGCGUUCAGUUACUUGACGUAGACCCGAAACCGGGCGACCUACCCAUGAGCAGGAUGAAGCGAAAGUAAAAUUUCGUGGAGGUCCGAACCCACGAGCGUUGAAAAGCUCGGGGAUGACUUGUGGGUAGCGGUGAAAUUCCAAUCGAGCCCGGAGAUAGCUGGUUCUCCCCGAAAUAGCUUUAGGGCUAGCCUCAAGGUGAGAGAUACGGAGGUAGAGCACUGAAUGUCCUAGGGGGUAUUGCACCUACCGAAGACUAUCAAACUCCGAAUGCCGUCAUCUUAUACUUGGGAGUCAGACUGUGGGUGAUAAGAUUCAUAGUCGAAAGGGCAACAGCCCAGAUCGUCAGCUAAGGUCCCUAAAUGUAAGUUAAGUGGUAAAGGAUGUGGGAUUGCACAGACAACCAGGAUGUUGGCUUAGAAGCAGCCACUCAUUCAAAGAGUGCGUAAUAGCUCACUGGUCGAGUGAUCCUGCGCCGAAGAUUUCCGGGGCUAAAACUUACUACCGAAGCUACGGCAUCAGUAAUGAUGGGUAGGGGAGCUUCCCAUACGGGUUGAAGCAUGACCGUAAGGACAUGUGGACAGUAUGGGAGUGAGAAUGUUGGCAUGAGUAGCGAGAUGUGGGUGAGAAUCCCACAGGCCGUAAACCCAAGGUUUCCAGGGGAAGGUUCGUCCGCCCUGGGUUAGUCGGGACCUAAGCUGAGGCCGAAAGGCGUAGGUGAUGGACAACAGGUUGAUAUUCCUGUACUACCGAUAACCGUUUGAGAGAAGGGAUGACACAGUAGGAUAAGCUAAGCACACUGUUGGUUAUGUGUGCCCAAGCAUUGAGGCAGUCAAAGUAGGCAAAUCCGCUUUGAUAAUGCUGGGAUGUGAUGGGGAGCGAAAUUUAGUAGCGAAGUAGCUGAUUUCACACUGUCAAGAAAAGUCUCUAUCGAGGUUAAAGGUACCCGUACCGCAAACCGACACAGGUGGGUGAGGAGAGUAUCCUAAGGCCAGCGAGAGAACUGUUGUUAAGGAACUCGGCAAAAUGACCCCGUAACUUAGGGAUAAGGGGUGCCACCAUCAGGUGGCCGCAGAGAAUAGGCCCAAGCGACUGUUUACCAAAAACAUAGGUUUCUGCUAAGUCGCAAGACGAUGUAUAGGAGCUGACGCCUGCCCGGUGCUGGAAGGUUAAGGGGAUCUGUUAGAGCAAUCGAAGCAGUGAACUUAAGCCCCAGUAAACGGCGGCCGUAACUAUAACGGUCCUAAGGUAGCGAAAUUCCUUGUCGGGUAAGUUCCGACCCGCACGAAAGGCGUAACGAUUUGGGCACUGUCUCAACAACAGACUCGGUGAAAUUGUAAUUCCGGUGAAGAUGCCGGAUACCUGCGACAGGACGGAAAGACCCCAUGGAGCUUUACUGUAGCUUGACAUUGGGUCUUGGUACUACAUGUACAGGAUAGGUGGGAGGCUUUGAAACCAGGACGCCAGUUUUGGCGGAGCCAUCCUUGGGAUACCACCCUUGUAGUACUGGGACUCUAACCAUAGGCCAUGAAUCUGGUCUUGGGACACUGUCAGGUGGGCAGUUUGACUGGGGCGGUCGCCUCCCAAAAGGUAACGGAGGCGCUCAAAGGUUCUCUCAGUACGGUCGGAAAUCGUACGUAGAGUGUAAAGGCAAAAGAGAGCUUGAUUGCAAGACAUACAGGUCGAGCAAGGAUGAAAAUCGGACUUAGUGAUCCGGUGGUUCUGCGUGGAAGGGCCAUCGCUCAACGGAUAAAAGCUACCCUGGGGAUAACAGGCUUAUCUCCCCCAAGAGUCCACAUCGACGGGGAGGUUUGGCACCUCGAUGUCGGCUCAUCACAUCCUGGGGCUGUAGUAGGUCCCAAGGGUUGGGCUGUUCGCCCAUUAAAGUGGUACGCGAGCUGGGUUCAGAACGUCGUGAGACAGUUCGGUCCCUAUCCGUCGCAGGCGUAGGAAAUUUGAGAAGACCUGUCCUUAGUACGAGAGGACCGGGAUGGACGUACCUCUGGUGUACCAGUUGUUCUGCCAAGGGCAUGGCUGGGUAGCUAUGUACGGAAUGGAUAAGCGCUGAAAGCAUCUAAGCGCGAAGCCAACUUCAAGAUAAGAUUUCCCACCGCAAGGGUAAGACCCCAGAAAGACUAUCUGGUUGAUAGGUCGAAGGUGUAAGUGCAGUAAUGUAUUUAGCUUAUCGAUACUAAUAGGUCGAGGACUUGACCAA
rnacentral:rRNA from 1 species